rnacentral:tRNA from 2 species
GGAGAGAUGGCUGAGUGGAUUAAAGCGUCGGAUUGCUAAUCCGUUGUACAGAAUAAUUCGUACCGAGGGUUCGAAUCCCUCUCUUUCC